rnacentral:misc_RNA from 1 species
AACUUUUGGCAACGGAUCACUUGGUUCCGGCAUCGAUGAAGAACGCAGCGAAAUGCGAUAAGUAAUGUGAAUUGCAGAAUUCCGUGAAUCAUCGAAUCUUUGAACGCAUAUUGCGCCCUCUGGUAUUCCGGAGGGCAUGCCUGUCCGAGCGUCAUUACUACCUUCAAGCACGGCUUGGUUGUUGAGCCAAUUGUCCUUUUGAUGGACAGGCUUAAAAUCCAGUGGCGAUGCCGAGUCCUGGUGCCCGAGCGUAUGGAGCUUUGUCACACGCUUUAGUGGUCCAGCCGGCAUUUUCGUCGAUUUAAGCUUAAAAAAUCUAAGAUUUGACCUCGGAUCAGGUAAGGAUACCCGCUGAACUUAAGCAUAUCAAUAAGCGGAGGCU